AAACCCCAUCUCUACUAAAAAUACGAAAAUUAUCCGGGCGUGGUGGUGCACGCCUAUAGUCCCAGCAACUCGGGAGGCUGAAGCAGGAGAAUCGCUUGAACCCGGGAGGCAGAGGUUGCAGUGAGCAGAGAUCACACCACUGCACUCCAGCCUGGGCAACACAGCAAGACUCUGCCUCAAAAAAAAAGAAAAGAAAAGAAGAAAGGAAAAAGCCAACAACCUGUCAGAAAAAAAAAAAAAAUAUAUAUAUAUAUAUAUAUAGAGAGAGAGAGAGAGAGAAAGAGUUUACUGAAGAAGACAACAAAACACCUUUCAAACUUUUUGUAUUUUUAGAGACAGGGUCUCACUCUGUUGCCUGGGCUGG
rnacentral:lncRNA from 1 species